GUUUGCUCUACGAUGGCAGUCGUAGUACAUGUUAACUCGUCGAGGUAAAACGUUUCAGACUUUAGGCUGGAAUGAAACGAUUCAAUGGAGGCAUUAUCUGCAG
rnacentral:antisense_RNA from 1 species